CGGAAUCUGCCUAGUAGUGGGGAAUAACCAGUCGAAAGACUGGCUAAUGCCGCAUACGACCUUAUUUCGUAUUGGAAUUUGGUGAAAGCGGGGGAUCGCAAGACCUCGCGCUAAUAGAUGAGCCGAAGUCGGAUUAGCUAGUUGGUGAGGUAACGGCUCACCAAGGCGACAAUCCGUAGCUGGUCUGAGAGGACGACCAGCCACACUGGGACUGAGACACGGCCCAG
rnacentral:rRNA from 1 species